ACCUGGGAUAGCUCAGUUGGGAAAGCAUGAGACUCUGAAGCUCAGGAUUGUGGGUUCAAGCCCCAUGUUGGGGA